UCUUUCUUUCUUUCUUUGUCAGGCUGUGUUGUACAGCACAGAGUGGAGUGGUGUCAAAUAGAAAAUAAGAAAUGCACUGAAGAGGAGGAAAGAAAAUGAAAGCGAAAAAGCUGAAGAGUGGGGAAAAGAUAAAGUAAUAUGAAUAUUAGGAUUCCACUCCCUUGGAAGACUGCCAGGCAGCAGAGAGAGAAAACAGGAGUGAGAAAUACUACUGUGCAUCAGGACAUCCUUAAAAUGAACAUCAUGUAUUCUCAGCUUUGAGAACUGAAUUCCAUGGGUUGUAAUUGAAUCUCUGUCAGACCCAUGGGGCUCAGUUCUUCAGCUUGGAUAUCUGUGUCUUCACAUACACAGGAAAUCAAAGAACCACUUGAUCAUUCAUUGACUCUUCUGGAUGGCAAUAGCAGAAAACGGGAAAGAAAAAGAAUAAAUGAUGUGACACUUUUU